rnacentral:rRNA from 1 species
UACAGAGGUCUCAAGCGUUGUUCGGAUUCAUUGGGCGUAAAGGGUGCGUAGGUGGCGCUGUAAGUCGGGUGUGAAAUUUCGGAGCUUAACUCCGAAACUGCAUUCGAUACUGCGGUGCUUGAGGACUGGAGAGGAGACUGGAAUUCAUGGUGUAGCAGUGAAAUGCGUAGAGAUCAUGAGGAAGACCAGUGGCGAAGGCGGGUCUCUGGGCCGAAAUUGACGCUGAGGAGCGAAAGCGUGGGGAGCAAACAGG